UACGGGGGGGGCAAGCGUUGUUCGGAAUUACUGGGCGUAAAGGGCUCGUAGGCGGCCAACUAAGUCGGACGUGAAAUCCCUCGGCUUAACCGGGGAACUGCGUCCGAUACUGGAUGGCUUGAGUUUGGGAGAGGGAUGCGGAAUUCCAGGUGUAGCGGUGAAAUGCGUAGAUAUCCGGAGGAACACCAGCGGCGAAGGCGGCUUUCUGGUCUGAUACUGACGCUGAGGCGCGAAAGCGUGGGGAGCGAUCCGG
rnacentral:rRNA from 1 species